rnacentral:rRNA from 1 species
AGAGUUUGAUCCUGGCUCAGGACGAACGCUGGCGGCGUGCCUAAUACAUGCAAGUCGAACGCACUCUCGUUUAGAUUGAAGGAGCUUGCUCCUGAUUGAUAAACAUUUGAGUGAGUGGCGGACGGGUGAGUAACACGUGGGUAACCUGCCCUAAAGUGGGGGAUAACAUUUGGAAACAGAUGCUAAUACCGCAUAAAACCUAACACCGCAUGGUGUAGGGUUGAAAGAUGGUUUCGGCUAUCACUUUAGGAUGGACCCGCGGUGCAUUAGUUAGUUGGUGAGGUAAAGGCUCACCAAGACCGUGAUGCAUAGCCGACCUGAGAGGGUAAUCGGCCACACUGGGACUGAGACACGGCCCAGACUCCUACGGGAGGCAGCAGUAGGGAAUCUUCCACAAUGGACGAAAGUCUGAUGGAGCAACGCCGCGUGAGUGAAGAAGGUUUUCGGAUCGUAAAACUCUGUUGUUGGAGAAGAAUGUAUCUGAUAGUAACUGAUCAGGUAGUGACGGUAUCCAACCAGAAAGCCACGGCUAACUACGUGCCAGCAGCCGCGGUAAUACGUAGGUGGCAAGCGUUGUCCGGAUUUAUUGGGCGUAAAGCGAGCGCAGGCGGUUUCUUAAGUCUGAUGUGAAAGCCUUCGGCUCAACCGAAGAAGUGCAUCGGAAACUGGGAAACUUGAGUGCAGAAGAGGACAGUGGAACUCCAUGUGUAGCGGUGAAAUGCGUAGAUAUAUGGAAGAACACCAGUGGCGAAGGCGGCUGUCUGGUCUGUAACUGACGCUGAGGCUCGAAAGCAUGGGUAGCAAACAGGAUUAGAUACCCUGGUAGUCCAUGCCGUAAACG